rnacentral:lncRNA from 1 species
GGUCCGCGGCUUCGUUUUUGAAGUGAGACCAAGAACCCACCAAUUCCGGACAUGCGUGGACUCACUGAGAAGCAGCAAGUUGGCGUUGACUUAGCCCGCUCAGUGUGCAGAGUGGGUUGAAGAAAAGAAUAGACCACAUCAGAGGAGUAAAGGGGUGGGGGCAAAAGCCAGAGAAGGUGGGACCUUGGAAUCACUGGAAUGACUUUGCUUCCACUGGCCAGGUGGAGAUGUGUGCCUGGGUCGGUAUAAACCUCUCUCUGUGUUUCAAGAACACACCUUUGGGAAGGUGACAGUGUGGUGGUGGGACAGCAAACUGCCAGUCUAGAAAGCUACUCCAGGCCUCAGUUUCUCAUCUGUGGAAUUAAGACAUUGGCCUGUAGAUCCAUGGGAUCCAUCAGGGAUCACCCCAGCUCUAAGCAUCUAUGAUACCGUGGGAAUGGAGAUGAAGAUAUUUCAUUUAACAUCUGGUCAAGAGUCCAAGUAAACAGGUGAGCAACUCUCUUGCAUACCUAGAGAGUGUGAGCAUGAGUAAAUCCUUUCACUCUUGGAAUGAGAAGGAAAUAGUAAACCCACUUUCUAGGCUAAUCAUGUGAUAUUUUACCAAACUCUGAGUUUAGAAAGAUGUUAUAUAAUCUGGCUUUUAUUGCAUGUAUUUAGAUCGAUUUUAUCAAGCCAUGUUCCCUGAUACAUAUUAGGAUUGCACCUCAAAGUCUUGGGUAGCCUUAGGUCAUAUUUCAGCUGUGGUUCUUUUGUUUAGAGCAAGAAGUAUGUGGAAGUAUUUUGUUUUGUUUUUAUCAAUCUUGGUAGCUCACGUGAUGUCCUUCAAGAGCCAGCCAUACUCUGGGGCUUAUCGUCUUGGCAGAAAAAGCAACUGUCCAGAGGUCAAACAAGGGCCUGUUUCCUCCCCUGCGAGCCAGCUGAGACCUUCCAUUCCCAGACUGAGUUUCAGUCCUUUAGUUUAGCCUUAAGGCUUUGUUCCCUAAUAAAAUGCAACACACUGGAAA